rnacentral:lncRNA from 10 species
CGCAGGGCAGGGGAGCCCCGAAGUGGAGCAUAGCGUGUCCGGAACUGGUGGGUUCUUGGUCUCACUGACUUCAAGAAUGAAGCCGCGGACCCUCGCGAAAUGAGGCUUCUCCCUGGGACCAGCAUUCCACGAAGGCAGCCCUUUUCUAGAUGGAGAAAACAGAACCUGAAGACACCCGUUUCCCUAAACUGCUCUUGCUCAUGUGCUUCCGAGGCGAUCGAUCAGGCAGUGUCGGUCUGCAGCUGCUAAGCCAAGAAGAUCUGGGAAGGAGUCAGUCAGGGAGCCUUGGGCUGGAGUCCCAGGGGCUCUGGGAGUGGCUGCCAGUUCUACAAGGCCUGGAGCUGAUACGAAAAACCUCCCUUCUUUCCCAAAUGCUCCCCAGCUUCCCCGUUCACUGAAGGCCCUGCAGUCAGGAACAGUCAGGACUUUGCACCCAGUUGUUGUGGGUGUUUGGCCGACUCUUCCUCUUGUGUGAUUCAUGGACCCUCAGCAUUGCAUCACCUAGGAGCUUUUGGAAUUGAAGACUCUCAGGGCUCACCCGGAAGGACCUCCUGGGCCAGAAUCUGCAUUUUAACAAGAUGCUCAGGAUCUGUAACCCAGGCUGGAGUGCAGUGGUGCGAUCCCGGCUCACUGCAGCCUCUACCUCCUGGGUUCAAGCGAUCCUCCCACCUCAGCCUCCCAAGUAGCUGAGACCACAGGCAUGGCUUCUCAACCGGGAGUGAUUUUGCCCCCCAGAGAACAUGUGGCCAUGUCUGGAGACAAUUUUGGUGGUUGCGGCUGGAGGAGGUGGUGCUACUGGCAGCUAAUGGGUAGAGGCCAGCGAUGCUGCUAAGCAUCCUACAAUGCCCCGACAACUCCCACUAAGACAAAAGAAUGAUCCAGCCCCAAAUGUCAAUAGUGCUGAAAGUGAGAGACCCUGAUUCCAUCUUAGAGAUCAUCCAAGCACACUUGGCCAAAUUGGUUUUGCUACUGUCCCAUGAAGAAAAGGCAGACUCAUGACUGAUGGCAACAUCGAUGGGAAUUUUGUUUACCUCUUCUUUGUGGACUUUGGGUUACGAUGACUUACCAUUUGUGCAAGUUGUGCAUUGCAUACCUCCAGGGGGCGCCACCCACAUAUUUAUGAAAAUGCCACCCCAGGAAUUGCACAGUACAUAGUCUACAUGGCAAUAAGCAGUUGCUCUGGUUUUGGGGUUGUCCUGAGGUGCUCUGGAACUGGGAGGAACUUUAUUUCUGGCCAUUAGAGGCCCUGAGCAUGACUUUGAGUAUCCUUUCAAGAAAGGAGAAAUGUUGAACAGAGACGACCUCAUUUUUAUAACUCUUGACCAUCAUCUAGUUACGGAGCAUCCACUUUUCACCCCUGGGCCAUAUCCAUUUGAAGGGUGAAAAAUCAUCAAAUUAUAAUAUCAUGGCUUAUACUUUUGAUAGCUUCUGCCCGGAACAUGGCGGUAACAGCUUCUCAUUUUCAAUUGAGUCAUUGGGGGAGAAAAUAUACACGGCUGCCCUAAGACUUUCUAUUACAUACCACUUGUUUGACGAGAUUUCUUUAGUUUCUGCAGCAUAACUUAUUCUAACUGGUCCUCAAU